rnacentral:lncRNA from 1 species
UUAGUUAAAUACUAUUCGUCUUACUGUUUUAGAGGCAAAAACAUCAAUCAAAUCUGAAUAAUUUAGCUGCUCAACCAUUUCUUCAUCUAUUGAUAACAUAGCCAACCCGUUUAAUCUUUCUUGCGACAUAGUUGAUCGGAGAUAGGUCUUGAUCAACUUCAAUUUCGAGAAACUUCUUUUCGCAGAUGCUACUAUAACCUAUAUGGUUAACAAAAUUUUGUAAGCAAUAUAAGCAUUUGGAAAAUAAACAUUUAAUGUCUUUAAAUAUUGUAGCACUUCAAUUGCUCUUGUUGCUUCACUUGAUAUAUAACACCUCAAGAUUUGUAACUCUGAAUAUAAAUCAUCCCCAGUGAUGUCCGAACGCCCAUCAUAUUGAAGAUAUUUCUCAAAAUUCAUACAAGAGUUCAACAAACUUGAAAAAGUUGCACCCCUUAAUCUCUUCAAAUUAAACAAAAAUCCAAAUGUGACAUCAUAUUGUUUGAAUUGUUCAAAUCGGGUCUUCAGAGAAGAGAGAGCUUGAUCAAUUAUAAAAACAAAGUACUCAACUCUAAAAGAUUCUUCUGUCGAUUGCUUUACCUCAUCACCACCGCUUUCAUCAAAUUUUUUUCUUCGAAUUAUGCGUUUUUCUAUAAAUACAGCUUCAAUUCCCAUUUCGCUUGCCUUUUUGCUGUUUUACCCUUGACAAUAGCAAAUUCAAUUUCUCUAUAUUCUUCAAGAAAUGAAACAAAUCCUUGCAAGAGGUCGAUAGCAUGAUUAAUAUCCAUGGAUUCAGUUUGAAGAAAUUUACUUACAAUAUUGACAAUAUGCAACAACCUGUACCAGAUUAUCGUACCAAGCAAAAACUCAAAAUUUUGAAGUUCAUGUGUUGCCAAUGACUCGGUUUCACUCUUCACUUUAGGAUCUUCAUUACUUUCUGUCAAAUCAAGUAAUGCAUCUCUUAUCUGUGCAGUUUGCUCCAUUAUAGGCCUCACACUCUCAACAUGACUUUCCCAACGUGUUAGUGACAAUAGCUUCACUGUAAACCUUUGUACAUUAUCUUUGAAAAUUUCACAUCGCUUGGUAGAAGAGGAAAACAAUGUGUAGAUGCAUUGUAUCACUCCGAAGAAGGAUACAACUUUGAAACAACAAUUCACCAUAUCACACAAUUCACCAUAUCACAUAAUGCUAGAUUUAGACUAUGAGCGCCACAUGGAGUAUAGAAAACUCGGGGAUUCAUUUCAUGAACUCUUCCUUGCACACUUUUGUGCUUCCCGCUCAUGUUAGAUUCAUUGUCAGACCCUUUCCCUCUAAUGUCAUCAAUAUCGAGAUCAAGUUUUAUCAAAGCCUUUUGAAGCUCAUUUGCAAGUCCAAGUUCUGUUGUGUCAUCUACCUUCAAAAAUUCUAGCCAAUGUUCUUCAACUGUAGGUAAGUUUGCCGAAUCAUCUACAAAUCGUACAAUUAAAGACAUUUGCUCCUCGUGACUUGCAUCUGGAGUAAAAUCAAGUAUAACUGCAAAAUAUUUUUGUAUGUUUAACUUUCUUGACAAUUGAACUUCUCACCUCAUUAGCCAACAACUGUAUCAACUUAUUUUGAAUUUUUUUGCCAAAAUAAGUAUAUUGAAUCUCUCUUGCUUUAGCCCGCCAAAGGUGCUCUUGCAUUACUGGAUCAAAUUCACUAACCAUUUCCACCAUUUGUAAAAAUAGGCCAUUGUUCUCAACAUGUAGCCUCUCAUCGAUGGCAAUGUGUUUUUUGCAAGUCUUUUCACAGUAGCGAUUAUCCUUGUUAAUACAUGUCUCCAAUGUUCUCUUUCAGCAUCAAUCAACAAUUCAACGCUUUUAUCAAUUGUAGUUUUUGUUCGAAGCCUAUUUUUCAAUUCAAUCUAGCUAGUCAUGCAACGUAAAAGCUCGUCAUUUCCUUUAUGAGUUUUAAUAGACCAAUGCAAAUUAGGCCAAUCUUUGAAUCCAUCAUUAUCUAGUUGGUCAACUUUGGUCACAUUUAUUGGUGUUUUAAACAGCUUGCAACAAAAGCAAAAAAUAAUGUCCAUAGAUACUGAAUAUACUAGCCAUCUUCUAUCAACUGUUUGCCCAUUUGGUAGCAAUCGCUUAUAUUGUGAAGAAUCGAAAUUUCUAUUCGUAUAGUCUUUCGGAAACGAGAUGUCAUCAACUCUUUUUGGACCCCUUUCAACUAAGUAAUCCCUUGUUCUUUGAUCAAUUAUUUUCUAAUUCCCGGGAUCAUCCAAAUUUAGAGAAAAGCAACCCUCUUCUUCCUUAUCAUCUUCUUCAUUAUUAGAGGCGGACUUCAUCAAUUCUUCUUCCUUAUUAUCUAUUUCAUGAACAUCGGUAGGUUGACUCAUUUCUUCAUCCUUAUCAUCUACUUCAUUAACAUGGGCAUGUUGAAUCUCUGUUUCAUCCUCAUUCAACGAAUUCACGUUGUUGCUUUUGAAGUACUUGUUAAUAUCCCCUGCUUGACUUUGAAUUAAUGUAAUUUCAUUUCGUUUCCUUUUCCUCUUUUGAGCACCAAAUUCAUAUUUAGGAGGCAUAGUAUAAGAGUGUAUAUCUAAUAUCCAAUGAUUAACCUAAAAAACAAUUACAAAAUAUCUCAUUCAUCUCACAAUUAUAGUUUCCAAUAUAGUUACUAUGUGCGCUUGUACAAUUGUUCAUCAUACAAUAAGCAAUCAUAUAAGCCGAUCAGGCUGUAAUUAUAUAAGCCGGCAAGACUUCAAACAUUUCCAACCUUUAACAUGGCUACUUAGGGCAAGUCAUUGCUUACCUAAGAAGUGGAACUUUGAUGAAAAUUUUGGAAUUACACCUUUGAGAAUGAUCCUUUUUUCUGAAAUGGUGGUAAGCUGAUUGCAAUUUGAAGAAAUUUCUGGAUUGUGUCAACGAUGCUGUAACAUAGCAAAAAGAAACAUGUAAGAAGUUUUCAGUUGAUUCAUUCAUGUUUGGACUUCGUUAUGGCUUCAUACAGAUGGAGUGCAGCAAGUACAAAAAUGGACCAGCUUGUUCAAUGUCCACAACCCUUGACCAAAAUUAUACAUAUUAUCUUCUAAAACUAUCGUCUUCAGAAUUUAAAUUGGAAAUUAACAAAUUAUUGGAACUGCAUUGCCAAUUUAGAGAUUAAUAGAACAUAUACCUCACAUAGAAGAAAUUUGUAAGUACUAUAGUUAAUGUACAUUAAAGUGAGGGAGUGAAGAAAGAAAUGAAGACAUAGUAGAUAGUGGCCCAGUCCAGAAAUAUCGAUCACAUAUACGGAAUUGCAGGUUAAGAGUCUAAAUGCAUUACCAAGACCCAGCCAUGCACAGAUUGCAAUCAUAAAGAGCCUUAAAACACAUUCAAACACGCUUCUUUUGUUCUUAUAUAGCGCUUGAGCAAGUUAUUAAGCUGGAAAAAAAAAGUAAAACUCAAGUAGUUUAUUAUUUCUCCAUUUUUUUUGAUAUUCUUUAGCUUAUCAAGUUAAAGAGUUUCAUUCUUGAAGUAUCAUUUUUCCCAAAUCCCUCAUUGACAGCACCAAGUAAAUUCCAGCGAUAAGGAAAUUGAAGCAAUAAUCGUAGCGCUUCGACGGCUAACGUUGGCUGCUUUUAGCUAAGAUAGGCUCAAAAUUGUUACUUGUGGUUUUUUAUAAUUGCUUCACCUAAAUUUAUAGGUAUUUACAAAUCUUGAAGUCAGCUUUGAACAUAAAUAGCCAUGUACAAGUAGCCUAUAUAUACACAGCAAACAACAUGAAGGGUGAAUCCAACUCGGUAGCCACAUUGAAGUUAUUGUUUGCUGACUUUGAAUUCUUCACAGUUAACAUUCUUCCAAGGUAAAUGAUAAUCAGGUAAUGGACUUAACAAAUUAUUGUCAUGCAGGUCCAAGUUAAUCAUAUUAAAAUAUGCUAUUGGAUCCAGUUGGCUUUCAAAUAGAAUACGAGCAUGCUUCUCAAUGCAAUUAAUCUCCCAGCAUGUCAUGUAAAAGUAUGUCAUUCACACCAAUUGUAAACAUAUUCUGAAAUUACUUUAAGCACUAAGUCAUUCAUAAAUAUAAAAAAUUUUGGGAUUUGCUUGCUGAUGAAAGAAGUUCACACUUAUUUUCCUUAUCCAAGCCACCAAAUGCACUGAUGCACAAUGAUAUUCUAAGAAUGGUUAGCUGGCAAAUUGAUCGUUAAAAAUUUAAGUAAAUGGCCCACUUAUAUCAUACUUAACAGAUGCAAUUAUGAACUGACUAGAUCUUAGAUUCUUAGUCUUGACAAUAUUUAAGCCUUGUUUCUUCGAAAAAUUUAGCUACUUGCUUACAUCCUACUAUAGUUAUAUAAAUUCCCUUUUUCUUCAAAUUUUAUUGCUCUAUAGAUACACCCUAGGAAAAAUGCUGUGGAUAUCCACCUUCCACAGUGAAUUGGUGAUGGUAUACACAAGAUUCAAAACUCAAAAAAAAAAAAGAUUUAAAAAAAAAUGUUACCAGAUAAUGAGCUUUUAUAUCACUAUCAGAUUAAGAUGAAAUAGGCUGAAUACCCAAAAUGACAAUGAGUAAGAUUAGAGAUAAAAAGUGGAUGCACAAGGUAAAAAAGCUUAAUUACCCACCCAAUGGCUCGAUUGAAGAAGCCCAAUAAUCUAGAAAUCAAGAUUAAAAUUCAGGAAAAAGAGGGUGUUGGCCACUAGCAAAACUACCAAGUCCAAGUGAAGAGGCAACUAAAGAGCUGCAGAUUUGAGACUUCGAACGACUUCUCAACGAUUUUGGGAACCACUGACCUGAAGGAGAUGACACUAAGGCGAGUAGGCGACGACUGAAGAGCACGUCCAGCGGGCUGUUAUAUUUCAGAUUUUGGAAAGUUUUGAUUGCAUUUCAGAAUCAGAUUUUGGGAAUUUUUGGUUAAUUGGAUUGGAU